rnacentral:misc_RNA from 1 species
UCCGAGUUGACCCCGGCAGUCUCCUAUGAGUCCCCGGCAUUAUCCGCUGGCAACAUAGGACGAGGGUUGCGCUCGUUGCGGGACUUAACCCAACAUCUCACGACACGAGCUGACGACAGCCAUGCAGCACCUGUCUAGGGACUCCGAAGAGGGCGCUCGGUUUCUCGAGCGUUUCCCCUAGAUGUCAAGCCCAGGUAAGGUUCUUCGCGUUGCGUCGAAUUAAACCACAUGCUCCACUGCUUGUGCGGGCCCCCGUCAAUCCUUUUGAGUUUCACCCCUGCGAGCGUACUCCCCAGGUGGCAUACUUAACGCGUUAGCUCCGAAACAGAAAGGGUUGAGCCCUCCUACUUCUAGUAUGCAUCGUUUACGGCUAGGACUAC